AUGCUGACCAAAAACAAGAACAAAAAAUUUGGGUUAGCUAGCCACAAAAUAGGUAUUUUGGUUUGGUUUUUUUAUUUAUAUAUAUCUACUUCAAUUGGGUUUGUAUUGUUUGUGGGUUACGUUGUUGAUGUGUGUGGUAUUGAUAUUGCAAGUUUUUAUAAGUGAGGAUGAAGUUGAAGUGUGUAUUUGUUGAUUUAGUUUGAUGUAUUUUGGUGCCAACACUGUUUGAUUUAAGUUCAUUGUUUAGCUAAUGGCUUGAUUUUACAGUCAUGGGAAUAAAUUUUCAACAAUGUUUUUAUGAUGUGGUGGCUAUCUGGAAUGUUUACGAUGGUGGUGGGUGGGUCAUGAAGCUUUUCUUUGUUGGGCUAGCAAUAGCAUUCAGGAGUCAUGAUGAGCCAUGA
rnacentral:lncRNA from 1 species